rnacentral:rRNA from 1 species
AGUGAACAAGGUCUCCGUUGGUGAACCAGCGGAGGGAUCAUUA